GAGGCUUCCGGGUGCCACGGUACUUUGGCAGGGAAGUGGGGAUUGUGGUGUCCCGCUUCUGUGGAAUUGGAGGAUUCUGAGUCCCUCUGCUGGCUAGUGCUUUGUGGGUUCAGCAGCUGAUGUCGCUGACCUUCUGGCGUCACUCUGGAUUUUUUUUUUUCUUGUGGGUCCUGGGGGUGGAACCCAGUGCUUCACACAGGCUGAGACACUGCUGUCUUCCACAGAGUUGCUGGCCCUCCCUUGUUUUGGAUCUUUAACAGCUUUCAGCUUAGUUAUCUCCAUGGACCCUAUUACCUACUCAGACCUUCGAUUCCCAAUUUUGUUACCAUCUCUCGGACAUACUGGGUCAAUUUCUUUAAUGGGCCCCAGGUUGGGUCUAGCUCUCGUAUUAUCUAUUAGCUGUGCCACACUCUCUGAGGCAUUGCUGCCACAGGACUGAGCAUCAGCUGCUUGAGAUGUGGAACCAACUCCUUCUCCAGGUAUGGGUCCAUGAUACAGCUGGACAGUAUGCUCUGGCACCCAGAUAAGCCAUUCAACAUUCUCUGGAAAGACACAAACAUACCCUUGUCCCCAUAUACAUACUGGACUUGGUCCCUUCCACUGUCCAUUUUGAAGAUCUUUCCAAAAGAUCCUUCCUAGCUUUUCCUUCACAUGAUGGAAUUGUCUCUCUGCUGCUGUACUCCUACCCGUAGUAGGAUUUAUAAAGUUAAUAGUAUAUAAGGUCAAGUGAAGUGUAUUAUUAGGUGUGAAUUUUGUAGGAAAGGAUUCUCCUUUUUGUUUUUAUAGCUGAAUUUUAUGCAUACAGUAAGCACAUUCAAUGAUUCCUUGACCUUGAGUGUUAUAAUGAAUUCCUGUGAUAAAGGAAAUGUGAAAAGUUUUACAAAAUGUUUGGAAGGCAGCGCACAUACAAACCAGGCCACUAUCAGUCUUAAGUGCCAAGGGGUCUUGGCUCCAUUGCUGCCCAGUGAUCAGCAGACUGUGGAGUCUCACAGGCAUCAAGUGUUACUAGAGGUGCCUGAGGCAGCAAAGCCAGGCAAGGGUAUUGCUUUCCCAUUGCUGCCUGCUUGCUGCCCACUGGCCCAAAUAGCCUCUAGCUGCUGAGCAUGAUGCAAGUGCGAGGGGAGGGGUUGGCCAGUGAUUUAAAGGCUUGGUGGGGCUACAGCAAAGCUCAUGCCACAGCAUGUGGGAGGCAGGGCCCGCCAAGCCUUUGGAGCUCUGCCCACCCACGGCAGCCUUCAAUGGCACAUAGACACCAACUUCAUAGCCUCAGCCCCUGUAAGGAACUCAUCAGUCUCUCACUGUACUCCAGGGAGGAAUAGUGCUGGGUAUGAGGAAAAAAUAGACAAGAGGAAAGAGCAGGUGAAGUCAACUUCUUCCCUGAUAGGUAAGAGGAACUGAACAACAAUAGCAGGAGUGUUUAUUUAUACUCUUGCAAAGUUAGUAUCAUGAGGCAAGGCUGCCUAGUGACUAAUGACUAGAUUGCCCAGGCAGGAUGCUUUUCUUAAGACUGAGAUAGCUUGAGUGCUUUAGGCACUCUGGCUCUGUCCUGCAUAUGACCAAUUUCCAGCUCCAGUGGCUCCCAACUUCUCUCUCUCCUCUGUUUUGUAAAUGAUGGGUGUUUAGUUGAAUCUGGAAAAGCUGUACUUAGAGAAUAUAGUUCCAAAUCCAUUGCAGUGGUCAGUUACGUCUAUCUGGCAAUUGUCAGAAAUUUGUUGGUGAUUUGAAUGUUUUACAGCUAACAUAUUACUAUGGCAUUGUUAUUCACAUCUUGUGGUUAUACUUUUCUGCUGGAUGUUCAAAACCAAGUUAAAGUGAGACCUGUAUAAAUAAAAUUUAACUCGUUGCUAUCUAACUAGGUCAGUUAAAUCUCUAUAGGAAAUUACCUUGGGACCAAGUACAGCACCUCUUAGACCUUCUGUCAGUGUCAGCGUCUGGAUGAGUCACGGCCAUUGCUUGAGCAAGUCACUUUCUGUGAAAGCUUGGGAGAUCUUUUUCUCCCCUGGUGACUCUCCGUAGGCACAGUAUACAUUGUGAAUCACUUUCCUCUGUGGUCUUAUAAUCUCCUUGAUCAGAUCAGGGACUCAACUGAGUUACAGGUGGUCACAGCAGAGGUUCUCUAAUGUCCUGAGUCCUCACUGAUCUUGGAGGGCUAGGGCCAACAUAUUGGCUAUCCUCUUGAUCCAAUCUACCUCUUUAAUUUUUGGUCUCCAAACUUCAGUUGUUCAACAUUCAGAAGAAAAGAUUAAUGACAUUACAUUGUAACGAAGCCAGUAAGCUUAAUGUUACUAUCUUAUCUGAAUAUCAAACACCUUAGAACGUAAAUAAAACCAUUAUUUUCUAACAA